AUGGCGGGCACGGCCAACUGCAUCGACAUCAUCCUCGCCAUCAUCCUCCCGCCCCUCGGCGUCUUCCUCAAGUUCGGAUGCGGGCACGAGUUCUGGAUCUGCCUCUUGCUGACCUUCCUCGGGUACAUCCCGGGUAUCAUCUACGCCAUCUACGCCAUCACCAAGUAA
rnacentral:rRNA from 1 species